rfam:Mesocricetus auratus contig197539, whole genome shotgun sequence.
GUAUCGAUGAUGACAACAAUUCUCUGAGGAUGCUGAGUGACCUGUACUAUGCCACUCUAAGCUCC